CCUACGGGUGGCAGCAGUGAGGAAUAUUGGUCAAUGGUCGGGAGACUGAACCAGCCAAGCCGCGUGCGGGAGGAAGGUACAGAGUAUCGUAAACCUCUUUUGUCAGGGAACAAAGACUGGGACGCGUCCCCGGAUGAGUGUACCUGCCGAAAAAGCAUCGGCUAACUCCGUGCCAGAAGCCGCGGUAAUACGGAGGAUUCGGGCGUUAUCCGGAUUUAUUGGGUUUAAAGGGUGCGUAGGCUGUUGGAGAAGUUAGAGGUCAAAUGUCGGGGCUUAACCCCGUGCCUGCCUCUGAUACUGUUCGACUAGAGAGCGGAUGCAGCAGGCGGAAUGAGUAGUGUAGCGGUGACAUGCUUAGAUAUUACUCAGAACACCGAUUGCGCAGGCAGCUUGCUAAUCCGCAUCUGACGCUGAUGCACGAAAGCGUGGGUAGCGAACAGGAUUAGAUACCCCAGUAGUC
rnacentral:rRNA from 1 species